rnacentral:rRNA from 1 species
CGCAAGCCUGACGGAGCAAGACCGCGUGGGGGAGGAAAGCCUUUGGGUUGUAAACCCCUUUUCUCAGGGAAGAAGAAAGUGACGGUACCUGAGGAAUCAGCCUCGGCUAACUCCGUGCCAGCAGCCGCGGUAAUACGGAGGAGGCAAGCGUUAUCCGGAAUGAUUGGGCGUAAAGCGUUCGUAGGUGGCAAUUCAAGUCUGCUUUCAAAGAGUGGAGCUCAACUCCAUAGAGGGAGUGGAAACUGAGUAGCUAGAGUAAGGAAGGGGUAAGAGGAAUUCCCAGUGUAGCGGUGAAAUGCGUAGAUAUUGGGAAGAACACCAGCAGCGAAGGCGUCUUACUGGUCCUUAACUGACACUGAUGGACGAAAGCUAGGGGAGCG